rnacentral:lncRNA from 13 species
AUGCUGGAUCACCACAUGGAAAAACCCCACCAGAGCAGGGGGAAAACAUCGGGUAGGAAACGCCAUGGCUCCAACUCGCAUCUCAGCGGGCUCGAGGAUGUGGCUUGUUCGGGAAAAUCACACUGCUGGCUUCAGCACCCGGCCCAUGUCCACAUCCCCACUAAGGGGGGCCUCCAAGGGUGCCACCGGAUGGGUCCCCAGGCCAGCCAUCCUGUGGUUAUUGGGAGAACCAAACCAGCAUCUCAUUGCUGGGUCCCACUUGCCAAAUCUUCUCCCAUGCCACACUGGCAGCACUGGGUUUUGUCCCGCUGCCCUGCUUUGCCACCCAGCACUGUCACUGCACCAGCUGGGCUGAGUCCUGACCACAGUGCUGGGCACAGGCAGGAGAAAUCAGAGAAAAGCCCUGCAAUGAUGAAGAGUUUUCUCUUAGUUUUCCGCCAAAUUUCCAAGGAAGAUGCAGCAGGAGGGGGGAAAAUCAGGGGGGAAUUUUCCAAGCUAGAAAAUAACAGAGACCCCAACGUUUCGGUGCCUUCUCCAUGGGAGAGUCUGGUGGUUGAGGUCUCUGCGAUGGCCAACGAGCAAACCAAGGCAAGGCAGUCCUGUGGUGUGACCCUGAGCCAACACCUCCAGCCUCGCGUCCUCCGAGGGCGUUUCUGCUCCCGCACAUCGGACUGGAGACAAACCUGCCCCUGGAGAAGCCCUUUCAGAGAUGCCUCGAGGCAGAAGAGGACACAGAUCCAGCACGGACAUUCUCCCCGCAGCUCAGCACUCCCCGGGAGGGAACACCCAGAUGGGGAAACUGAGGCACGAGCCUGCUUGCGCAAGACCUCGCGGCAAGCUGGGAGUGAAUCCAGGCUUCCCAGGUCUCCCCAGCUGUGCCCGGAGCCGGGAUCAGGCACUGCCCUGCAACAUCCCAUCCAGGAAACUCUCCUACCUUCAUUAGUGCCGGCUCCUAAUUAAAAGGCUCUCAAAAGCCCACGGCAAGGACGUGAACCCGCAUCCAGGUGGCUUUGUGGAGGUUCCAGCAGCUGGAUGGAGAGCUGGGAUUGAUUUUUCUAGGGAAACUCUGCAUUUAUACAUUUGUUUUUCUUCCCGCUGGGGGGGAACAGGCGGCGUUCUGGGGAUGCUGCUUUGAGCCUUUAUUUCUACCAGGAUCUAGAGAAGCAGGGAAAAUGCCAUCCCCAGCUCACAGUCAGACGAUUCAGGGUGGGUGAUAAAUGGGGUUCUGCAGUGGAAAAUUCCCCCCUGCCCUGUUCAGUGUGGGCAAAGCCUGUUUCCCAGUAAAACCAUUCCAGGGCUCAGCCAUUCCCAGCACCCCAGGAACCCCUCCUGAGCCUCUCUCCCUGGCUUAUCUGGCAUUUCAACACAUCUUACAAUACUGCAAAGCGGGGAUGAGGGAAAAAAAGAAACGUUUUAGGUCCGUGUUUGUGGGUUCUAAGAUCUCCCUCCAGCAGGGAUGGGAUUAAGGCCAUUGGCUCUGAGUAGCCAGAGCAGUAAAAUCUGUGCGUGGCUAAGCUGCAAGGCUUGCUCGUUUCUUGAUGAUAAAGAGACUCUGUUUGGGGCUUGAGUUAUUUAUUGGACUGCAUCUCAUUAGAAGAGUGGGCACUGGGCACACUGAACACCCCCAGCCCUUCCCCUCCACGCUGAAAUCCUCUGCUCCAGCACUGAACUGGGGAGCCAGGAGCAGCCCUGGGGAGGGGACGUGCAGGGCCGUGGCAGUCAGGGAACACUGCCGAGUUCAGCAGCUGCAAAUCUCCGUGUGAUCAGGGUGGGAUCAGGGGGAUUCAGCCCCCAGCCCCACGCUCGGCUCAGCACCUGUGCGUGGAGCAGCGUUUGCCAGGCAGAUCCGUGCUGGGACAGAGCCAGCUCCCGCUGCAGCAGCACCCACAGGGUGCCCUGGCUCGGGGGGAAAGCCCCUCUGGCAGCUCAGACCUGGCCCCUCGGUUCUCCCUGCAGCUCCUUUCCCAGCCACCCCCUCCCAGCAGGUACUUUCCUAGAUUAAAAACCCUGCUCUCAUCCCUUGGUGUGGUGCCCCAGAGCCUCGCGCUUGUUUUUAUUGACAGCCCCAUCUUUUGUUGAUUAAAAUUCCUUUAAGUGCACCUGGUGGCUGAUCCCACUCCUGAGCCAGGGAUGCUGUCACUGUCCCCUCCUCCAUCGGGCCGUGCUGCCCAGGCUCCCUCCCAGCCGCGUGUCCCCAGGUGCUCCACGUGUCUCCUUGGCUUCAAAAAUAAAGGAAAGGAAACAAAAAUGCUCCAGGAUGAUGGGGAAAAGGGUGAUUUUUGUUUGGGAAGAGAAAGGGACUGGUGUCAGGGCAUGCCAGGCUCUGUCCUCAUCCCUUGUUUCCCUUCUCCCACUUGGCUGGAUUUGCACCUAGAGGGAUGCAGAGCCAAGGAACACGGGCCAGGAGCCGAGUCGUGCCAAAAGCACCGAAUCCAAGUCUUGCGGCUCCAAACAAGCAGUGGCACUGACAAAAUCCCUGCCAGCCCCGGGCUGGGGCUGCCGGAGCUGGGCUUGGCUGGGAUCGCCCACCGGUGAGGGUGAUCUGCUCUGUGGGGAUGUGGGAAUGCCAGGAGCAUCCCACUGCCCAGUGAGGGGGCGGAUGCCUGGGUCCAGAAAUGGGUUGGAUUCCUCGUGGGGACUGGAAGACAAAAUCGACCUUUCUGCUGCCCUUUGGGAUUUCUGCUCCCUCCAGGAACUGUUGCUCUUCCACACCUGAUCCUGGUGUUCCCCCAAGAGGGUUUGGGAUCACCUAGGGUCCGGCCUCCCCCAGCUCCAUUCCCCCACCCGCCACAACAUUCCUGUGUCUCCACGAUCUGUUGGGAAGCUGGGUUUCCCAUGGCUUUGCCCAGCAGGAGCUCGGGAAUCCCUGCACGGGCUGGGGGUUGGGACGGGCUCCAGCCCCUCCUGCAUUCCCACACCCCCACGGGGUCCUGGGCUGAAGGACCUUACCUGGCUCGUGGAUCUCAUCACCUUUGUGCAGCUUCAGAGAGGUUUGGCCAUUCAUCGUCCCCUGCCCCCCAGAUUUAGGCUGGGGCCACGAUUCUCAGCUUGCAGCCCCAGGGUCAGGCGUGGAGGGAUUUUGCUCUCUCCCAAAGCAGAAGGAGGAAGGGGAGGGGCCCAUGGGGUCUGUGCACACCCAUUCCAUCCCUGAGUCACCCGUUUGUUCCUCCUGGCUAAUUUUUUGCCCAGGGAUCAGAGAGGAACAGGUUGCAAUUGGAAUGGUGAUGGGAAGAGGCUUUGUCCAGGCUGGAGCAGCGACCUCAUCCUGCUGCUGGGGUUCAUCUCCAGCCGCUUCUGUCCCAACCACCCACAGCAUGACCACCCUGCCCCCACACCCCCUCCCACAGGGCUGGGCUGUCCCUGUCCCCUCGAGGUCACCCGGGGGCAGGUCCUGAGCUCUCCUGAGAUGUUCCGAGGGCUCGCGGUCCCCGACAGGACCCCGGGGGAUGCAGGGGCUCAGCACCCCCUGACCGACCCUCCCUGAUGAGCCAGCCCCGGCACCCAGCAUCGAUCCGUGAUCGAUCCGUGCCCACGGCCACGUCGGAGCAGGGCCCGGCAGGAGGACUCCGACUCCGAGGACUCUGCAGCCGCAGCGGGAAGCGAAGCCUCUUGGAGGAAGGCUCUCUCUGUAAUUGCUCUUUGGCCCCUGGCCACCAACUGCUCACAUUUGGGAAUGUUUUCUUUCCAGUCUCACGGCCGCUUUUCAGUUCCCUCCCUGGUUUUACCCAUCUCAGCCUCUUCCCACACCACCACUCCCAAAUGAAAGACCUCAGGGUGUCAAAGGUAGAGCCCCAAAUUUCCAGACAAGGUGUCAGCUGCAGCCCCCCCAGCUCAUGGCAGCAGUGAUUCGGAGCACCCGGAGCUGUGCCAGAACUCUGCAGUUCUCCAAGGGCUCCUGCUGGGCCUGGCAGGGUACAGCCCCAAAAGGGUGUGAAAUAUUCCCCAAAAGGAUGUGAAAUACUCACCAUGGAGUCAGCAGGACCGGCCCGUUCACCUCAUCCUGGUGUUCCCUCUGAGAGCCGAGGAUGGCCCUGCGGUGAUCCAGCAGCGCUGGUGGGUGAUGGCCGGGCUGGGCAGAGCCUGUGUCAGCUCUGCGGGGCCUUUCCCCCACCAAAGGGCUCACGUGGGUGAUUCUGCCGUGGGCUUCCCAGUGGGGGCUCUGCUCCAACCCGUGUGAGAGAGCGAGGAGCUCAGCCACAACGUGGAACCACAGAAUCCCAGACUGGUUUGGAAAGGACCUUAAAUCCCAUCCCAUUCCAGCCCCUGCCAUGGCAGGGACACCUUCCACUGUCCCAGGGUGCUCCAAGCCCCAUCCAGCCUGGCCUUGGACACUUCCAGAGAUCCAGGGGCAGCCACAGCUUCUCUGGGCACCCUGUGCCAGGGCCUCCCCACCCU